rnacentral:sRNA from 2 species
GCAAUGGACGACUAGGGUUCCGAUUUCCGUGAUGGCCGCCAUGGCUUACACGUCACGCGAAAUGCUGGUCCAAGAGUUGUCGACCUCUGGCGAGGUUACACGGCGGGAUAAAAGCCCGGGAGAG